ensembl:misc_RNA Metazoa_SRP Metazoan signal recognition particle RNA
GCUGGGCAUGGUGGCUCAUGCCUGUAAUCCCAGCACUUUGGGAGGCUGAGGCAGGUGGAUCACUUGAGGUCAGGAGACCAGCCUGGCCAACAUGGUGAAAACCCGUCUCUA